GGAGUAAUGGCUGAGAGGCUGAAGGCACUUCCCUGCUAAGGAAGCAUGUGGGGUCAACCUGCAUCGAGGGUUCGAAUCCUCUUACUCCGCCA
rnacentral:tRNA from 1 species